rnacentral:sRNA from 1 species
CAAAGAGGAACAAAGACUAGAAUCGCGACAUCGUGUCGCGACGUCUUUGCCACCGCAUCCAUGCGGA